rnacentral:rRNA from 1 species
CCUACGGGUGGCUGCAGUGGGGAAUAUUGGACAAUGGGGGCAACCCUGAUCCAACCAUGCCGCGUGUGUGAAGAAGGCCCUCGGGUUGUAAAGCACUUUCAGUGAGGAAGAACGCCUGGUGGUUAAUACCCAUCAGGAAAGACAUCACUCACAGAAGAAGCACCGGCUAACUCCGUGCCAGCAGCCGCGGUAAUACGGAGGGUGCGAGCGUUAAUCGGAAUUACUGGGCGUAAAGCGCGCGUAGGUGGCUUGAUAAGCCGGUUGUGAAAGCCCCGGGCUCAACCUGGGAACGGCAUCCGGAACUGUCAAGCUAGAGUGCAGGAGAGGAAGGUAGAAUUCCCGGUGUAGCGGUGAAAUGCGUAGAGAUCGGGAGGAAUACCAGUGGCGAAGGCGGCCUUCUGGACUGACACUGACACUGAGGUGCGAAAGCGUGGGUAGCAAACAGGAUUAGAUACCCUUGUAGUC